CGCUGAACUUAAGCAUAUCAAUAAGCGGAGGAAAAGAAACCAACAGGGAUUGCCUCAGUAACGGCGAGUGAAGCGGCAACAGCUCAAAUUUGAAAUCUGGUUCCUUCCAGGGGCCCGAGUUGUAAUUUGUAGAGGAUGUCUUCGGGUCUGGCCCCGGCCUAAGUUCCUUGGAACAGGACGUCACAGAGGGUGAGAAUCCCGUAUGUGGCUGGAGGUCUAUUCCCAUGUGAAGCUCCUUCGACGAGUCGAGUUGUUUGGGAAUGCAGCUCAAAAUGGGUGGUAAGUUUCAUCUAAAGCUAAAUACUGGCGGGAGACCGAUAGCGCACAAGUAGAGUGAUCGAAAGAUGAAAAGCACUUUGGAAAGAGAGUUAAAAAGUACGUGAAAUUGUUGAAAGGGAAGCGCUUGCGACCAGACUUGCCCUCAGUUGAUCAACCGGGGAUAAACUCCGGUGCACUCUGCUGAGGUCAGGCCAGCAUCGGUUUAGGCGGUUGGAGAAAGGCCUUGGGAAUGUGGCUCCUUCCGGGGAGUGUUAUAGCCCAUGGUGCCAUGCGACCAGCCUGGACCGAGGACCGCGCCUUAGUGCUAGGAUGCUGGCGUAAUGGUCGUAAGCGACCCGUCUUGAAACACGGACC
rnacentral:rRNA from 1 species